CCGCGCUAGCGCCCUGGCGUCACGGUGCUCGCACCUGGCCUCGUGUGACCAGACAGCGGUACCGCCACCCAGCGGUCCGGAAUGUGCGCGCGGCCGCCGCGGUGAUCCCUGUCGCUCUCCUGUGACCGCAGAGCUGUGUCGCAGAAACGGUCGCAGGUGUGCACGGUGCAGUCGCCGUUCUCGCUCCUGCCCGCGUAGGCUCACACAGCAGUGCUGCGGCGGGUCUGCUGCCCUGGCUCACUGCCCCUCCUCGCGUGGUCACGGCCAGUACCGAGCCGCAGCGCACGAGGUGCUUUGUUCCCAUAAGAAGGGUGUGGAAGUUGAAGAGACCAAGAAAUGUAAGCACCGAAGGGGCACAUCUUGAAGAGAAGCAGCUAGACCUAGCGAUCCAGUUGUUCGUUUUGGUCGUCGCCUGUGAGGCCAGCAUCCAAGCAUAAGAGGAAGCUAGGAGCAGUCUCAGAAGGGUAAUAGGUUUGAAACGGAGACAGGCAGAUCAAGGCUAUCAUUCCCCCACGUAGCUGAAGACCAAGAGAAUUGUCAGUUAAGCAUGUGUAUACAUGGGUUUGAGAACAGUAACGAUAAUACUGAAGCAGAAUGAAAAUAAGGUUUUGUGGAAGAUGGCGUAGGUAAGUAUUAGACGACGUGCCCGCCUGCCUAAUAACCUAGGCCUAAUUGCUGUGUGUAACGUUUCCAGACCGUUUACUCUGCAACGUAUGGUGCAAAGUGCCGUAUUAAGACCUUUCCCUUAAGGAAAAGAAGAAGGAAAAAAAAGAAAAAAAAGGGGGAAAAAGAAAACAGGGUAAAGAGAAAAAGAUCAUGCAUAAACCUAAGCGUUUCACUGGAAGUAAAAUGCGAGUUUAUCGCUUCCUUACAGAGAUGGAACCAAGGACAGCAAAUGCUGACGAGGAGAAGAGACGGACGAGCGUUUGCUUGCGGUUAAUACCGAAGGGACGGGAUGAAACAAGGAAGCCAGAAUGCAGCGGCCCCUCGAUAUCACCAGGAACUGCUACAGGAGGAGGCGUUCUGGCACGGGUAACUAGGACGUUGCCGAUUUAGCAAAGGAAUUCGAGGUAUCCCCGAACUGAACUGUCCUCAUUAUAAUACCAGAAAAUCACGCCCAUAGGUCAGAAAGACCUGUGCCCGGGUGAAGACCCCUCCCCUGAGCAUGCGUAGUUUUAAAAUGGUGUGUAAGCAAUAUUAGAAUUGUAUGUAAAUCACUAACCAACCGGUGUAAGAGGGAAAGUUGCAAACCUUGCAACUUGUAUAAAUGCUACUUGGAAAGCCGGGGCGGGGGGGAAGUUGCGCUUGAUUUGUGGGGAAAACACCGAGCAGCCAGGCUUGCACAACUCUGAAAUAAAUAAGCAAAUGUCUCUCCUGAGCGUGUCAUUAUUGGCUUAGUGCACAGCGGGCAACGAAUCCGCUUUUCGGACAGCAGCGUGACCAGGCGCAGGGUUGUCCCCGGGGGCUGGGGCUGUCCCUCUUGGAAAUGGGGAGGGCGGGAAGAGUAGGAGGGGUGCUGCGGGCUCCUGGGGGUCGUAGCUUUGCUCAGGAUUGGGGCCGGUUAGGCAGCUGCUGGGAGGAGUGGCGGUGCUGGGAGGGCACGGUGCGGAGCUGUCCUGCUGUGCAGCGCAAGGGAAAGUCGACCAGCACCGUUGCUGUCCGAGGACCCUGGAACAGCCCGAGAGACCCUGGAACAGCCACCCCACGGACACCGUGUCACUGCCUCGCAAGGCCACCGCAUGCAGGGUAGCCCACCGAAGGGGGACAUCUCGAAGAGAAGCAGCAAGACCUGGGGAUCCGGUGGUUCAUUUUGGUCGUCGCCUGUGAGGCCAGCAUGCAAGAGUAAGAGGAAGCUAGGAGCAGUCUCAAAAAGAUAUGGAACCGAGGACAGCAAAUGCUGACGAAGAGAAGAGACGGACGAGCGUUUGCUUGUGGUUAAUACCGAAGGGACGGGAUGAAACAAGGAAGCCAGAAUGCAGCGGCCCCUCGAUAUCACCAGGAACUGCUACAGGAGGAGGCGUUCUGGCACGGGUAACUAGGAUUAAUUGCCACGGCUGAAGUUGAAGAGACCAAGAAACGUAAGCCCCGAAGGGGCACAUCUUGAAGAGAGGGGGCUAGACCUAGCGAUCCAGUUGUUCGUUUUGGUCGUCGCCUGUGAGGCCAGCAUGCAAGAGUAAGAGGAAGCUAGGAGCAGUCUCAAAAAGAGAUGGAACCAAGGACAGCAAAUGCUGACGAGGAGAAGAGACGGACGAGCGUUUGCUUGUGGUUAAUACCGAAGGGACGGGAUGAAACAAGGAAGCCAGAAUGCAGCGGCCCCUCGAUAUCACCAGGAACUGCUACAGGAGGAGGCGUUCUGGCAUGGGUAACUAGGAUUAAUUGCCACGGCUGAAGUUGAAGAGACCAAGAAACGUAAGCCCCGAAGGGGCACAUCUUGAAGAGAGGGGGCUAGACCUAGCGAUCCAGUUGUUCGUUUUGGUCGUCGCCUGUGAGGCCAGCAUGCAAGAGUAAGAGGAAGCUAGGAGCAGUCUCAAAAAGAGAUGGAACCAAGGACAGCAAAUGCUGACGAGGAGAAGAGACGGACGAGCGUUUGCUUGCGGUUAAUACCGAAGGGACGGGAUGAAACAAGGAAGCCAGAAUGCAGCGGCCCCUCGAUAUCACCAGGAACUGCUACAGGAGGAGGCGUUCUGGCACGGGUAACUAGGGUAAGUAUCGCUAAUGACCGUUAGCAGUUAUUUCGGCCUCCCCGAGGCAGCGCUGAGGACUAAGUAACCUGAGGGGCUCUGGCCUGGGUUAGGGCAGAAGUGCAGGCAGGCGGGAUCAGGCAUUUUCCUCUCAGCUCUCCAAGCUGAAUCCUAGCCCUGAAGGAAAAAGCACUGGGGGGAGGCUACUCGGACACCUGCCACGUCGAGGGCAGGGGCAGGAGCUGACCCUUCCCCGACGGAUGGACGGACGGACGGACAGACGCUGGUGCGGCGGUGACUCUUUGGAUAUCGUAGGUAAGGGGAGGCACGCUGGUGCCGAGCUCCAGGGCGGUUUGCCUGAACACGAUGCCCGGGGCAGGAGGUUACGCAUUGUGUCCGGGGCUGGGAGCUGGUCCCCGAGUCCCAUGUACUUGGGAGUGCCUGCGCUUGCCAGGGAGCCCGGUGCUGUUCCCAGAGCUGCGGGGAAUUUCCCUUGCGUUGCCUGGACCCUCGGGGCUCUUGGGGGUGUUUCCCCUCAUCGCAAGGGCAGCCAGAGCCCCUCCAGGGCUGCGUGAGGUCCCCGAACCGCUCCCGGAUUUGCUUUUGGCACUCCGCAGUGUCGCUCGUGUGCCUGGGGCAGCCUGCAGGCGCCAUCCUGUCAGCCGCGUUGAGCCCUGCGGUGUGCCUGGUGACCCCUCUGGUGUGCGCCAAGGCCCUUCCUCUGUAUUUUGGUCUGCCCCAGAGCCCUGCACUUGCCCUCUGAUGCCCUCAGGACCCCUCAGUUCACAUUCUGGGUUGCCCCCGAGCCCUCUGCGCGCCUUUCGGUGCGCCCCGUGGCCCCGUGUGUGUUUUGCGGCACGCCGCAGAGGUCUCUGUUUAGCUUUUUCUCCU